UUUGUUAUGGAUUGUGAUGUACGUAAUAGACUCGUGAAUAGUGAUAAUCGGUCGAAUUGAAGGAAUAAAUAAUUGAUUUAUGUCGUAUCAGUUUCAAGAAGCGCUAGCAACGACCUCGGACCCUUCUCCCAGCUCCGGUGUAUUCUACCUGACGAAAAAUUUGAAUGGUUGUGAAUAUUACAGCUGUAAACAGUGUUCUCUCAUAUCUCUGGACCAAAAUGCAAUUGAACAACACGUACGUGGACACGAUUCUCAGGUCAACUGUCCGAACAAAACGAAUUUACAAUGUUUUGGAUGUGAGAAUAUAUUCUUCUCAAGAGACUCGUUGUUGUCACACGCUAUACAUGACCAUCAGUUGACAGAAUCUUGCGCAGCAAUAUUGAUCAGCAAAUUGCAUAUCGAGGAUAAGAAAGGAAAUUCAGGAGAGAUUCAGGAGACUGGAAUGAACAAACAGAACAACGAUAAUGAGGCAGUCAGUGACAUAGAAAUCCCAUCAAAAUCGUGCGGGGACCCAUCAAAGUCUGACAUAAUCCCUCGUGAACCUGAAAUUGCCAAUAGAAGGCUAGACAUUUCCAUUCCCCUCGAGCAGGAGAUAAUAAAUGACUUGAAUGACAGUCAAAAUGAUUCUGAUGGGAAUGCGGAUGACUGUGAGGCUUCAGAUGCACCUGAGAACUCCCUAGAAAAGAGGAGUUCCAGAAAGAAAAAAGAUCUUGCAGUUCUGGGGUUUAAGUGUGACACGGAGGGCUGCAAUGUUCGCCUAUUGGCAGAAGAGAAUAUUUCGUACCACAAGAAGUGUCACAAUGCCCAGGGGAAUGGAGGGACAGAGGCGUUCACGUGUCCAGAGUGCCAGGAGUUUUUCUCUAAUCGCUGGUGCACAAUGGCUGGCCAUUUGUGGCGAUCACAUCUAGUGGAUAUGGAACUGCACACCUGUGACUUGUGUAACUACAAAACUCCCAGUCUGAGUAAAUUGACUCAUCAGCAUCGAGGGAUUCAUGGAAAUGAGAGGCCUUUUGUAUGUGAAUUCUGUGGUAAAGGUUUCAAGACUUCAAAGCAAUUGAGGUCUCACAGGACAUCACACAAGUCGGAUGAUAAAAACGCUUUUGAGUGUGACAAGUGCCAAAGAGUAUUUAAGACUUGCAGAUUAUUAAAGUUACAUUGUAAUUCAACGCAUAAAGACUGUAAACCGUUCACUUGUAAUUUUUGCGAUUACUCUGCUGCAACAAGGAGUGGACUAAAGCUUCAUUUAAGAAGACAUACCGGAGAAAAACCGUUCUCGUGUGAUCAAUGUGCUUAUUCCACUGGAGAUCACAACUCUCUCAGAAGACAUAAAUUACGACACUUGGGAUUGAAGCCCUAUAAUUGUCCACACUGCAGUUAUGCCUGCAUACAAUCGUCCACUUACAAAGUUCAUUUGAAGAAUAAACAUCCAGGGCUAGAUGAGGGUAUAAUGUUCUCCUGCCAGUACUGUUCCUAUCGAACAUUAAAACGUGAGAAACUAUUGACUCACAUCACCAAACACACAGAAUUCCCCAGUGAUUCCAGGCAAAAUGACAAGGAUUGAAAAAAAUACAUCGAAUCAAUGCAAUCGUCAUUUAUUAUUAUCUACGGAUUUCAAGCGAACGUAUACAGUGAAAAAAUCUUUUUCAUUAUCCAACUUUCGAGCUCUGCUAAGUCUCCAUCCAAGUUCAUUCAGUUUACCAUCAAAGGGCAAGGGAUCUGUGCAACGGUUCUGGUUUUUAUCUGGUCCAAUGAUAAAGAUUACUCUCCCUGAGUAAUUUUUCAUGUAAUCGUAGAAAGCAUCGCCAUCAUUGAAAUAACAAAACAACAUGGCAUAGUUAGAUGGUAUGUCAACAGUGGAGUUAGCUUCGGUGACGAACAUGAUUUUGUUCAGGUACAUUGUCGGAACGUUGGCGACGCGGAUGUAAGUGUUUAAUGGGAGGAGAGAAAUUUAUGAGGAAAAUUCUGGUGAUCGCAGGGGAAAGGGGAGCAAAGUGGUGGAGAGGAAAAAAUUCCCAAAUGUGAAGUUCACAAAUUUCUGGAUAUUUUUACGGGAAAUUCCGAGAAAUUUUACUUUAAAGGCUGGGUAAAGGUAUUUUGGACAGUGAUUACCUGCACAACACAUCUCUCAGUGGCCCUCCUAUAUGGUGUCCUGAGUCAUCCCCAUUUCCACUUGAACCCUUCCGGACUUCCAGUAUAAA